UAGCUAUCCACAUGGAAGUUUCUUACGCUUGCAAUGGGCUCACCUUUGUUGUGGCUGAAGUCAAAUGGUACCUAACAUGAAUAUAGUUGAGCAUACCCAAAGCCCUUGAGGGUCUGCACACUUGAAGAAAGCAACAACCAAAUGCUCAUCACAAGGGCCUGAUGGUGAAGUCUCUAGACUUGCAGGAGCUAUCUCAAUGAACGCAGGAUUCUGGAGCAGCCUACAGAGAGGAGAUUCUUGCUUGUAA
rnacentral:lncRNA from 1 species